rnacentral:rRNA from 1 species
GAGGGAUCAUUACAGAGUUGCAAGACUCCCCCAAACCAUCGCGAACGCUACCCCUAAACCGUUGCUUCGGCGGGCGGCGCCCCCGCGCGCCCCUGGGCCCGCACACCCGCGGGCGCCCGCCGGAGGUUGCACAGAAACUCUCUGACACCCGUUGGCCGCUCUGAGUCUUUUGUGUACCGAAUAAGUCAAAACUUUCAACAACGGAUCUCUUGGUUCUGGCAUCGAUGAAGAACGCAGCGAAAUGCGAUAAGUAAUGUGAAUUGCAGAAUUCCGUGAAUCAUCGAAUCUUUGAACGCACAUUGCGCCCGCCAGAUUCUCCCUGGCGGGCAUGCCUGUUCGAGCGUCAUUUCGCCCAUCAAGCCCACGGCUUGUGUUGGGGACCUGCGGCCGCCCGCAGGCCCCGAAAACCAGUGGCGGGCUCGCUAGUCACACCGAGCGUAGUAGCAACGCGAAACCUCGCUCAGGGCGUGCUGCGGGUUCCGGCCGUAAAACGCCAACACACCCCAAGGUUGACCUCGGAU